GCAUAUAGACAUUGUCUUUUUAUUAUUAGCCUGCAAGUGCUCCUGCAACCCCUCUAAUAAAUAAGCAGCGCCCAACUUUUAUGAGGUCCAAUACUAUUUCCAAACCAUAUGUUUCAAACAUCCUGCCAUCGGAUGCACCCAAGAAGAGGCGUGCUCCAUUGCCUCCAAUGCCAGCAUCUCAGAGUGCCCCUCAGGACCUUACAAACAUCCAGGAGAGGCCAGCUUCUUGUGUGGUGAAAUCCACAAGUGUGGAGGAGACUGAUAAGGUGGGUAGGUUUGUUUUGUUUUACAGGAUGAGACAAGGUUACGUAACUUAGACCCCCAAGAAAGUUAGUAACAGUUAUUAAUAUGUAAUAACAUGAAUAAGUACUUAACUAAAAUUGGUACUGGAAAAAGAUUAUAUGUAGUUUGAUUCAAUGAAAAAUAAGUUGCUAUUUUAUGGAGCUUUUUUUUAUUCAAGCAAAUAGCUGGUCUAUAAACAUUAUGUCUUACUUAAUGCAUAUAUUACAGAUGAAAAUGCUUAUUUUCAAAUGAAAAUGUUUUUAAACAACAGUCUUUGUGCUAAUUCAUGGGCUUCUAAUUUGUAUGUCUUCUUUACCUAAUUUUGAGAUUCUGCAGAGGAAAUACUUGUGUCUACCUAAAAUCAAUACUAAAUCAACAUAUUGUGAUUACCUUUAUGUGUUCUUAUGUUCAAAUCAUUGUUCUAUGUGUACCUUUUCCUUUAAGUUUUACUUUUAUUCUUCUUUAUUGUCUUAUUUUUAC
rnacentral:lncRNA from 1 species